UUAAAAAUGCAUGCUGUGGAAGAGUUCGGGUCUUAGGAGGUUAAAUGCCCCUGCAGCAGUGACCCCGCCUCUCGCCUUAUGACAGCUGAGAUGAUUUUGUGUUUCCUUCUGUGCCUGCAUGACGUCUUCAGUAUUUCAGCUACAUUUGACAUCGGUGGGAAAGUGCAAAAGUAAGCAUAAAUAAUACUACAGCACUUUCAAUACCAGGUAGGGGUACUGCACUUGUGGGGCAUUAAUGAGCAGCGUGUGGGCUCCACUGGACUGUCCUAAAGCUGACUUCAAGACCAUCACCAGACUGGACACAAUGGGAGAAGUGGUUGAAAGAUGCACAAUAAAGACCUUAGAAGCCAUCAUGAGCAACUCUGAACAGCUCACCUUAUAACAGCUUUAUGGGACCUGGAGGACUCGUCUGUCUUCGUUGUUAAACAGGGAGACACAGAAAAUCAGUCACACCCGCGGCCAUCAGGCUUUUCACUCCUCAUACAAAUAGUGAGUCGUGAAUUCCCCUCUGGGAUCAAUGAAGUUAUUCUUAAGCUGUUGUCUGGCAAACUGCUGUAUGGUGUUUCAUCUCUGGUGCUUCAUAAAAGCUGUUACAGACUCCACUGUUAGAUUAUGUGUUAUCAUAAAUGUCGACACGAGCUGCGAUUAGUUUGUGGAAACAUGAAUUUUCCUUUUAACAGCAUCCUGAAGUGAAUGGAAGUGUAGCUCAUUUGCUACAUUUAAAGGGCUUUUAUUUUGAAAUCCAAAAUCGGAUUGACUUGAUAAUAACAUGGCCCCAGUGUGAGGGUGUGUACUGGUGAUAAAAAGUGAAAUUAGAAAUUCUUUACUGAAAAUAGAUGAUAAAAUCUUAUCUAAGAUGAGAAUCAGUCAGUCCACAAAUAAUCUCACCAGAUCAGACAGCUUUCAUUUCAAACCAGCACUCUAGUUCAGAUGUCAGAAGGCUGUUUAGUAUCGUCUUCUCGUCCCCAUCCUAACCCAUCCCAUCACUCAACUCAGCGCAGUUUCUACAGAAAGCACCCUGUGAAAAGCCAGAGCACUGUCCUUCCAAAAUGUCAGCGUCAUCUUCAAGACAUGACAACAGGUGUGACAACAACACCCAGCUGUUGGCUUUGUAAGUUUCUCUCUCUUAUUCUUGGCCCUUAAUUUCCCCGCUUCUCCCCGUUGUUCCUGAGUUUUAGCGCUGUAAGUAAAGGAAGCCGAUCAGAAAUGUUGACUGCAACCAGGCGGAGGAGGCGGGAUUUAAGCUCUGCUGUGUCACACGUGGGCGUAGGCUAUGAUGUAAGCCACGCCCCAGGACAAUUCACUGGAAAAUUGUAAAUAAACAUGCAGGAGCAAAGAACAGUGAGUCCUGACAGGGUAAUAGAUCAUCUACAAACACAUACUCACUGUAUUUCAGAGCAUCACUGCUAUUCUGUCUCUUCAUUAAUGGAUUUAACUGAAAGAGGGGGAGGUGGACGUUUAACAGUGGCAUUACAGCACAUCACAUAAUCAUCACAUACUCGGAUUACAGCACAUCGAAGGGCUGCCCCGGCAGUGAGGCCUAUCAUCCCCCCUUAUGCUCAUUCUUAUUUUCUUAAAUCCCUUACAACAGCACAUGUUCAUAUUAAACAUUCCAGAUAAUGAGUAUGUGAGCCAAAGAUCAGGCUUCAGACUGCUCCACAAAGCCUCUGUGACGUCAAAGGGAGCAGAUAUCCCUAAUGUGAUCAUCUUAGGAGUAACAUUCACAGGAGCAAAGGAACAAAUGCAGAAAUGUCCGGGAUUGCACAGUGACCAUCAGAAGGAGACAGCAGGUCGAUCCAGGAGCUGAGGAAAACAAGAAAUCUGCUCAAGGCUGAUGGACACUGAUUCCUUCCAUCCAGCCACUUCCAUUUCCCAUCUUCAACUCUCAGACCAAUCCAGUAUCCUUUGUUAUCAUCAUAUGUCCAACUCUUUUCACUGACAGUUUUCAGAGGACAGAGAGAAAGUUGUCAGAGAUAUUUAAAUGCUUUGCUCUAAGAAAGCUUUCAAUCUAAAGAAAUUAUUUUUAUUUCCUGAAGUCUGUAAUAACGUGUCUCACAAUUUUUCUCAAUUUUCUCAUUACCAUUUCUUCUUCAUUAAUCACAACAACCAAAUCUGAAAUCUUUCCUCUGUAGUUUUCUCGAGCUUCUUCCCAGGUUUUCCAUUGAUCACGGUCAGCAUCAUUAGUUGCAUAGCAGCUGGACUCAACAUGAUCCCAGCCAGCCUGACAACGGUUACAUUUUCUGUCUGCAAGAAUAGAGAACUGUUAAUAAACAGCUUCAAAUUAGGUAAUUUUGUACAAAUAUAUUUGGAACAUACUGUUAUUUUCUUUGGGACAGUAGGCAUCAAUGCUCCAUUGAGCUCGACUAACAUUGAAGUCACUCCAUGAUGUCAUCAUCUGUUGCAUUAUUUCUGUUAGGUUUUUCUUCUCUGUCUCCAGCUCCUCAUUUUUCUUUUUGAGCAUCUGUGUCUCUGCAGUCAAGUUUGCGAUCUGUUUUUCUAAAACUGUGGAGACUAUGAGGUUACAAAGGACAGCAGUUAGUUUUUUUUUAAGUGGUUUGAAUGUAUUUACAUGUUUCUUAUAAAUCAAUGCAACAAUAACUGUUAAAAAACACAAUCAAAUAUAAAACAUGAGACUACUUUGGCCUUACACACCUGAGAUCAAAGUGUAAGAUUUAAAUUUAUACUCACUGUAGAAUCGAAGGAGCAUAAUUAGUAACAGAAAUCCCCAGCAUGUUGCUAGUGAUGGAAAAGAUUUAUUACAGGACGACUUCUUAUCUAGCAAAAAAAAAAAAAAAAAAAAGUUAUUUCAACAACCAAAAUUAUUCAUAGUUUUAAAGUCUUUAGAAUAAAAUGAAAUGUGUCAAAGAUCCCCAAUUAUUUAAGCAUUGUUCUGUUAUGUACAACCACAAAAUACCUGUUGGAGGCAGAGAAAAAAUGAUUUAACUUUAGACCAGACCUAUAAUCACAAAGAAAACUAAAU